rnacentral:rRNA from 1 species
GAUGAACGCUGGCGGCGUGCCUAAUACAUGCAAGUCGAGCGAACGGACGAGAAGCUUGCUUCUCUGAUGUUAGCGGCGGACGGGUGAGUAACACGUGGAUAACCUACCUAUAAGACUGGGAUAACUUCGGGAAACCGUAGCUAAUACCGGAUAAUAUUUUGAACCGCAUGGUUCAAAAGUGAAAGACGGUCUUGCUGUCACUUAUAGAUGUAUCCGCGCUGCAUUAGCUAGUUGGUAAGGUAACGGCUUACCAAGGCAACGAUGCAUAUCCGACCUGAGAGGGUGAUCGGCCACACUGGAACUGAGACACGGUCCAGACUCCUACGGGAGGCAGCAGUAGGGAAUCUUCCGCAAUGGGCGAAAGCCUGACGGAGCAACGCCGCGUGAGUGAUGAAGGUCUUCGGAUCGUAAAACUCUGUUAUUAGGGAAGAACAUAUGUGUAAGUAACUGUGCACAUCUUGACGGUACCUAAUCAGAAAGCCACGGCUAACUACGUG